CUUCUUAUUGGGUUUAGAUUUUCUGAAGCAAACUGAGUAAGAUUUAUCUUUUCUGAGUCUAGUGGUUUUAAGUUUUUGAAACCAAAGCUUCAAAGACAGAAGAACAGGAUCGUCAAGCAGUUGGGGCCACCCAAGCAAAGGCCUGAAGCUUCUAGCCAGGCCAUUUGUUCUGGUCAUGUUUUGGGGCCUAAGACAAUUGUUUGGGAAGAAAACUUGGGAUUCCACAGCAAGCGUAAUACAAUAUAGAUAUUAUUGUUAAGGAGAGUUUAUUUUUAUAGUGAUGAAGUUUUCCAAUAAUUAAAAGGGUGAUCAAGUGGUAUUAUGGGAGAUUAUUUCUCAGUGGACUAUGUAGAUGAGCAAUCCUUCUCUUCAUAGGAUAUUUUAGAAUUUAGUUUACUCUAAAAUAUGAACCCUUAAGUUAAUAAACAGGGUGGCAUUUGGUGCCAAGGAUUAAAUAUUUACUGGUAAAAUAUACAGUGAUGAAAAGGAUUUUCCAACAGGCGAUAAAUCAAAUAGUCUGAGCUCUGUAUUAAAUAUUAUUUUUAUCAGGGAAAAAAUAAAACUUGGCCCAUGGAACAAAGUUAACCCAUUGUUGUGGAUUCCUGGAGCCUAACUUGUGAGGAUCAGCAGACAUUCCUUUUAAAAACCAGGAAGUCCAGUGGACUUGCCAAAGUGCACACACUUAGUGAGGAGCAGAACAGCUGUAAAUACUUAUAUAUGCACCGGUUGUUGGAACCCAGGCUGUGUCUCAAUGAAGAUAAUGAAUCAAUUAUUGAAAGUAAACCAGCAAAUGGGAUUUUACACAGGUAUUUUUCCCAAAAAACUACCUGUUGCGAAAUCAUAGUAUAGGUCCAGUCUUUUGUUUGUUUUUGGCUUUUUUUUGGUUUGUCUGCUUUUGUUUUGUCAUCAAAAAGUUGAAUUUGCCAUUCUUCAAUGCUUUCAGAACUGAAUGGAGAUUGCGAUGUUGCAGUCCUUAUGUGUGACCAUUUUAUUGGAAACUGUUAGUGUAUUUAUGAAUUAUGUCUCAGAUUUCUGUCAUUGGCUCCCUUUCUAGAUCAAGACCAAAGGAAACCUCGUGCCUGUUUGUCUAGAUUAGGGGAAGGUAAUUGCUGCAACCCACAGUGACUAAGGAAUUUGGUUUUACCCUUAGAAGUAGCGUUUAUCACAAGCUGAAUAACUUGAGUUCAAUCUACUGUCAGAGUCCACCAAUUGCCAGGGUUGGGUGCUGAGAACCAGACAAGGCAGGAGAAAGAGGAAAGGCCUCUCUGGAAUGCUCAGUUAUUGCAAUAAAGACUCUUCUAAGAAACAAUAGAACCAAUAGUGCCCUUUACUGGAACAAGAACUGAAGACACAAAGAGGAGAUAAGGUUGUCCUAACACACGAGAAGCUUCAAGACUAAGAAGGUGGCAUGAGCAGAGAAAUAGGAUGCACCUCCUUGAAAAGACAUAGGACACAAAGAAAACAUGACUUUAAAUAAAUUUCAGGAGUUCCCUUCGUGGCACAGUGGAAAUGAAUCUGACUAGGAAUCACAAGGUUGCGGGUUUGAUCCCUGGCUUUGCUCAGUGGGUUAAGAAUCUGGCAUUGCCUUGAGCUGUGGUGUAGGUUGCAGACAUGGCUCAGCUCUGAUGUCACUGUGGCUGUGGUGUAGGCCAGCAGCUGUAGCUUGGAUUUGACCCCAAGCCUGGAAACCUCCAUAUGUCACGGCUGCAGCCCUUAAAAACAAAACAAACAAGCAAACAAAAAACUCAAAUUAUACACAUAAAUUCUUUCUCCUCUGUCUACCCA
rnacentral:lncRNA from 1 species